rnacentral:misc_RNA from 1 species
UACUGGAGUGAGUUACUUUCC